UACGAAGGGGGCUAGCGUUGCUCGGAAUCACUGGGCGUAAAGCGCACGUAGGCGGCUUUUUAAGUCAGAGGUGAAAUCCUGGAGCUCAACUCCAGAACUGCCUUCGAUACUGGCGAGCUCGAGUCCGGGAGAGGUGAGUGGAACUGCGAGUGUAGAGGUGAAAUUCGUAGAUAUUCGCAAGAACACCAGUGGCGAAGGCGGCUCACUGGCCCGGUACUGACGCUGAGGUGCGAAAGCGUGGGGAGCAAACAGG
rnacentral:rRNA from 1 species